rnacentral:tRNA from 1 species
GCUGUGAUAGCUCUGUGGUUAGAGCAUUGAACGAGUUAUUCAAAGGUCGUAGGUUCGAUUCCUGCUCACAGCU